CGCGUCGAGGCUCCUGUUCCUUGGAGUCUGAGUUUUAGAAGAGAAAGGAUCGAGAAUACCGUGGCUUUUCUCUUUUUGGGGAGUCUACCCUUCUACUUGCUAUAGAAGAAAAAGGAUGAAAAGCAGGACCCUUUAUUGCUUUUUUAUAUGCUCUAUAUACUUCUGUAUACUCUAGGCUGCCCGGCUUUACAGAAACACGGCUUGGAUAAAUCUCUCAGCUCUCUGCUUUGGCCCUGAUUUAGCCCAUCUUUCACUCACUUGUUUCCUUCUGGAGGGCUUCAGUGUACUUCUGAACCUAAUGUACUCACUUGGGUACACUAGUUACAGCUCUUUCAAGGGAGCCAUCUCCCUGCAAUUCAGUACUAUUGAGAACUAAAAUAUUUAUCCCCUUAAGUCUCUGAUUCCAAAGAUACUUUUUUGCUUAUACCACUUGGACCCAUUCUUUAUUAUGUAAUUUUCAGCCAAGCAACAACUUUAACAGAAUCUCCAUUUUAUAUUUGAUUAAAUAAACCCCAAUGAUCCUUUUUUCUAAUUUUCCAUUUUUAUAAAAAUUAUUCUCUGACAAGGAUAGAACUGAGAGAGGGAGAAAGGUAUUUUGAAACGUUCUCUUAUACAAAAUCCUAAAUCAAAAUUAUAUUUACAGUAUGUUAUAAAUGGUCUGAGCUUUUUAAGAUUAUUUGUGACCACAGAUAAAAAAAUCACAUAGGCAUUUAACAUGAUUGAAAUAGUGACCUGUAAUCCUAUAUCCAGACUCCUUACACUACUGUAUAAAACUGGGAAACCCUAAAAUGAAAACAUGCAGUCUGCAGAUGCCUGCUUGUUUUUUGAACCUUGGACAAAUCUUUGUCAAUUUUGGACUGUUUUCAUAUAUGGCUAAAAGUCACAGGCUUCUUCUCUGUCUUCAUUGCUUGAUCUGUCCUAUGUGCUGACACCAUGAAGAAAGAAAAUCAGCAGGUUUUGCUCCUCUGAGGGGAGCUAUCUCAUGAUACAUGUACCGAGCCCUUUACUCCUCACAUCAGUGCUAAUUGCUGUAUUUGCAUCUCACUACAGCUGGCGGGAACAAAGACCGGGUUUGGAAGCAAAGUAGUUGAUCCAUACUUAGGAUUAAAGAUCUUAAAGUACUGGUUUAAACUCCUGCUGCCCCAAGAGCUUCCUGGAGGACACUCACUUUCUUAAAGGAACAGGGAUUCAAGUUUAUCUCCUACUUACCAGGGCGCCUGACCAAUCCUGUAAGAAUUUUCCUGUGACCUUUCCUUAGUUGCUGAACAUAAAUGUUUAGUACGGUUAUGAGGCUGCUUCAGUUUAUUCAUGGAUGCCGUGAGGCUCACUACUUCCUGACUGGGUAAGAAGAGGAAAAUGAACGAUAUUCAUCAUUUGAUGCAAUCAGUAGCAGAAGGAAAUAUGUACAAUAAAUGUGACAUUUC